GAAAAUGAAACAUUAACUGGUAAUAAGUGAUAAGUGGGGACAAAAAAAGGGCAGAGGGGCUGAAAAGGCAGAAGCCAUUUAUAAUUAAAAUCUUUUCUCCAGCUCCCUGCAGCUCCCUUCCUGGCAUGAACGCCAGUUUCCAUGCUGCCCUGCGCAGGACAGGUCGACACAGGUGCAAAGGGCUGCAGUGGUCCCCACGCUCACUGUUCUCUGGACACCUUCACGUCUGCCUCCCUCUGGGCCUUCUGUCCUUGAAACUCACGCCUCUGAUGAUUUCCACCCCAAACAGUCUGCUAGGGAGGGUGCAACACUGCCUCAGCAUCUCAGUUAUGGAUACACUGUGUGCUGAGUCACCACAUUGGCUUACAGCUUACAACUUGGAAGGAUUCAUAACACAGACAGAAAAAAUGUAAUUACAUUUUUGCUGCUCAGGAAGAUUUCUAAACCUUUCUAAAGUAGACAGUUUUGCUAUAUGUGUUGCCUACGAGAAGGCUGCUGCUGCCUGUGGUACUGACUGUCAUGGAAACCUGCAGUAUGGAAUAAUGGAAAAGGAUGGCAUUCCUGCUGCUGUCAGAGAAACAGAUGCCAGAGGCUUACUGGAGCUGAUAUUUCCUACAUCCUCCCCACUGAGAGCCACAGCUGUGUUAUCAGUCUCGGUAGUUAGUUCCUAGUUCCAACACACAUAGUUAAAAAUUGGUGUGUUCUUUCCAGCACACUCAACAAUGUAGUAUAAAGAGUAGCAGAAGAGCUGCAAGCAGGAAAACAGCUAUACCUGCCCUGUUAUAAACUCCACUAAGGCCUUCUCACAUGCAUCAGGAGUUACUCCACCAACAUCAGUGAAACUAAACUGGCAUUAGCACCGAUGUGAAUGAGAAGAUCACUAUGAGUCACACAGUAUUUAUUAAUUGUGGAACAUUAUGGACAGUGAUUUAAUAUGUGUUUUCCAAUUAAUUUCCUCAGACAAUCAAGUAUAUAAGAAAAAUUUGUCCUCUUAACCCACUUCUCUAUCCCAAUCUAUUUUACCACUUCAUUUGAAUUUGGAUGGCAUAAAUUGGAAUUCUUUUCAGUGUGUUAAGGGUUUUAUAGCAUUGAUUUUGGCAUUGUUUUUUCAGAUUAGAGAAAAUCCUAUUAAUGCAUCUUCACAAAUUGGCGCUUGUCAAAUUUAUCUUGCUCAACACAAGACGUGCUAACAAAACUAUUCUUAGAAGUGACACAAAUCAACUCAGGACUGUGUUGGCUAUUCUAUAAAUUUGCAAGUUGAGAUGAGUGUAUUGUCUCCAAAAAGUCCUUCAAGCCAAACAAAUCUUGAUGUCAAACUGUCAGACAAUGAAUUGUUUACAUAAUCCUUGCAAUGAUAGGUUAUCUGUUAAUGAUUUCUUUAUCCUUACUAAGAAUGAUCUUCCUCACUCAUCCUGUCCUCGUUGACUCCAAAGGUCUAAUUUCUUCAAUUUUAUAGAAAAUAGGUCCUUCAAUCUCUGUUACUUAAAAUAAUGUGAAGUCAAAUAGAAAUAAAAUAUAUCUUUCUGAAUCAACAGCAUAAAUUGUACAUCUCUAUUAAAUAUCACAAUGAAUAUAUGGACUAAGCAUGGGAUGAAGCAUUUCCACUUAAAAUUUCCACUUUAAAAAGAUACAGACAAUGCUGUCUGAAAAGUGCCAGUAAAACGAGGAAAAAAGAGUAGCAGCUGAAUUUUUAUUUCAAAAACACUGAGACGUGGACAGUGCUUUUUUUUUGUAAAGGAUCUAAUUCUAGCUUUGCUAUAUCAUCAUGACUAGACUGUUUCAGAAUUAGGUUUUUAAUUAACGUAAUGCUGCUGUGAUCAGUCAUGUCCCUUGCAUUUCCCCAAGUAGGUACUCUUUCCCAACCCAGUCAUGGACUCGGUGCACUUGACAGAAGAUAUACAGUACAAUCCUGUUUUCUUUCUUUUUUUUUUUAUUAAUCAUCACGUAGCUUGCAUGAGUCAACCCAAUGUUUUUUCUUCCCUGAAGUUUUCAUUAAGUAAUCAAAUAUUUCCUGGUCAGGAUCAGCCUGAGGUAGGAAGAACUGUAUGUUCUUUCUGGGAGCUUUUCCUGACAGAAAAAUGCAAGUUUAUUUUUGAAGAUGGAGUUGGUAUCAGACUUGGGGCUGAUUGACCAGCAGGAAAGAGGGAAUGGGGAGAGGCUAAAUGCUGUCUCUCUCUCCCUCUGUUCACUUUCACCUGCUUCCUUAUCACUCGGUACCCUGCUUGGUCCUGGCCAAGAGCAGAGGUGCAAGAACUUCUCAUUAACAUUGGGGCUGCAUCCAGCCCCAGCAGCUGAGACCUGUCCUCUAAAAACCAGCACCAGAGCAAGGAGAUUGUUCAGUCCUUUCUUAACUUGCCAGCAGGACCCACUGGUGUAGGCAGGUGGCACGGGUAGAGUGAGCCAAAUGAAGUACUGGGCUGCAGAUACAGGAUCUUCUGAGAUGUAACAGUUCUGUGAGUAAUGCUUUUAUAUUUGUCAAAGCAGCAGCUGUGAACAACUUCUGAGUCAGAAGGACAGUAAAGAAAUAGGAAAUCAAAGUCCGUCUUCAUCAAAGCAAUACCUUCAAAUUCAGAGGAUUAGUCACAGAGCUUACCACGUAAGGCAUGGCACAAAUUCUCCAGAUGCCAGAGAGGUACGUCCUACUUCUGAUUCACCACCCUGCCAGUUAGGCCGUUUGUGUUUUUUUUUUCCCCUUUCCAAAACUUGAAGAAUCUCUCACAGCUUUUGCUCUCACAGCUUCUGAACCUCUGUGAGGCCAUGCCCACAAAUGCCACUUCCUCCCCGAGAGGAGAAACUUGCUAUCACACUGGCCUCUGCCCCUGCACAAA